rnacentral:rRNA from 1 species
AGUGAACGCUGGCGGUAGGCCUAACACAUGCAAGUCGAACGGCAGCACAGUAAGAGCUUGCUCUUACGGGUGGCGAGUGGCGGACGGGUGAGGAAUACAUCGGAAUCUACUUUUUCGUGGGGGAUAACGUAGGGAAACUUACGCUAAUACCGCAUACGACCUACGGGUGAAAGCAGGUGAUCUUCGGACCUUUCGCGAUUGAAUGAGCCGAUGUCGGAUUAGCUAGUUGGCGGGGUAAAGGCCCACCAAGGCGACGAUCCGUAGCUGGUCUGAGAGGAUGAUCAGCCACACUGGAACUGAGACACGGUCCAGACUCCUACGGGAGGCAGCAGUGGGGAAUAUUGGACAAUGGGCGCAAGCCUGAUCCAGCCAUACCGCGUGGGUGAAGAAGGCCUUCGGGUUGUAAGGCCCUUUUGUUGGGAAAGAAAAGCAGCAGGUUAAUACCCCGCUGUUCUGACGGUACCCAAAGAAUAAGCACCGGCUAACUUCGUG